AAAGGAAUAGACGGGGGCCCGCACAAGCGGAGGAACAUGUGGUUUAAUUCGAUGAUACGCGAGGAACCUUACCCGGGCUUGAAUUGCAGAGGAACAUAGUUGAAAGAUUAUGGCCGCAAGGUCUCUGUGAAGGUGCUGCAUGGUUGUCGUCAGCUCGUGCCGUGAGGUGUCGGCUUAAGUGCCAUAACGAGCGCAACCCUUAUCAUUAGUUACUAACAGGUCAUGCUGAGGACUCUAGUGAGACUGCCGUCGUAAGAUGUGAGGAAGGUGGGGAUGACGUCAAAUCAGCACGGCCCUUACGUCCGGGGCUACACACGUGUUACAAUGGGGGGUACAGAGGGCAGCUACCGGGCGACCGGAUGCCAAUCCCAAAAACCUCUCUCAGUUCGGAUCGAAGUCUGCAACCCGACUUCGUGAAGCUGGAUUCGCUAGUAAUCGCGCAUCAGCCACGGCGCGGUGAAUACGUUCCCGGGCCUUGUACACACCGCCCGU
rnacentral:rRNA from 1 species